rnacentral:rRNA from 1 species
AUGCACGCUGGCGGCGUGCCUAAUACCUGCAAGUCGCGCGAACAGACGAGGAGCUUGCUCCUCUGACGUUAGCGGCGGACGGGUGAGUAACACGUGGAUAACCUACCUAUAAGACUGGGAUAACUUCGGGAAACCGGAGCUAAUACCGGAUAAUAUAUUGAACCGCAUGGUUCAAUAGUGAAAGACGGUUUUGCUGUCACUUAUAGAUGGAUCCGCGCCGCAUUAGCUAGUUGGUAAGGUAACGGCUUACCAAGGCAACGAUGCGUAGCCGACCUGAGAGGGUGAUCGGCCACACUGGAACUGAGACACGGUCCAGACUCCUACGGGAGGCAGCAGUAGGGAAUCUUCCGCAAUGGGCGAAAGCCUGACGGAGCAACGCCGCGUGAGUGAUCAAGGUCUUCGGAUCGUAAAACUCUGUUAUUAGGGAAGAACAAAUGUGUAAGUAACUAUGCACGUCUUGACGGUACCUAAUCAGAAAGCCACGGCUAACUACGUG